AUUGAACGCUGGCGGCAUGCCUUACACAUGCAAGUCGAACGGUAACAGGUCUUCGGAUGCUGACGGGUGGCGAACGGGUGAGCAAUACAUCGGAACGUGCCUAGUAGUGGGGGAUAACUACUCGAAAGAGUGGCUAAUACCGCAUGAGAUCUACGGAUGAAAGCAGGGGAUCGCAAGACCUUGUGCUACUAGAGCGGCCGAUGGCAGAUUAGGUAGUUGGUGGGAUAAAAGCUUACCAAGCCGACGAUCUGUAGCUGGUCUGAGAGGACGAUAAGCCACACUGGGACUGAGACACGGCCCAGACUCCGACGGGAGGCGGCAGUGGGGAAUUUUGGACAAUGGGCGAAAGCCUGAUCCAGCAAUGCCGCGUGCAGGAUGAAGGCCUUCGGGUUGUAAACUGCUUUUGUACGGAACGAAAAGCCCCGGGUUAAUACCCUGGGGUCAUGACGGUACCGUAAGAAUAAGCACCGGCUAACUACGUGCCAGCCGCCGCCGUAA
rnacentral:rRNA from 1 species